AAGGUUUCCAGAGGAAGGCUCGUCCGCUCUGGGUUAGUCGGGUCCUAAGCUGAGGCCGACAGGCGUAGGCGAUGGAUAACAGGUUGAUAUUCCUGUACCACCUAACAUCGUUUUAAUCGAUGGGGGGGGACGCAGUAGGAUAGGCGAAGCGUGCUGUUGGAGUGCACGUCUAAGCAGUGAGAUUGAGUGUUAGGCAAAUCCGGCACUCUUAAGAUUGAGCUGUGAUGGGGAGAGGAAAUUGUUUCCUCGA
rnacentral:rRNA from 1 species